rnacentral:lncRNA from 1 species
CCAAGUUUCAUUUGUUUGCCGGCACAAUGAAGACCUCAGUCAUCAGAUUCCUAGCAAUGCUUGCCGUGUUUGCAGUGAUCACCUGCGGAACUGAGGUGACGGGACGAGAACCGGCGAAAGUUCGAAUUCGCCGUGCUACCGGUUGUCCCGACGGUCAGGCCUGCAUCAAGAGCUGCAACAGCGAGGGUUACAGCUCAGGAUAUUGCCUAUCAGGUUUAUUUCAAUUCUGCAUCUGCGUGAACAUGUAGAACACGUUUAUAUUUAACAACAUAACAAUAAAGAUGGUCUGAAC